rnacentral:rRNA from 1 species
GAAACCCGGUGAUCUAGCCAUGGGCAGGUUGAAGGUUGGGUAACACUAACUGGAGGACCGAACCGACUAAUGUUGAAAAAUUAGCGGAUGACUUGUGGCUGGGGGUGAAAGGCCAAUCAAACCGGGAGAUAGCUGGUUCUCCCCGAAAGCUAUUUAGGUAGCGCCUCGUGAAUUCAUCUCCGGGGGUAGAGCACUGUUUCGGCAAGGGGGUCAUCCCGACUUACCAACCCGAUGCAAACUGCGAAUACCGGAGAAUGUUAUCACGGGAGACACACGGCGGGUGCUAACGUCCGUCGUGAAGAGGGAAACAACCCAGACCGCCAGCUAAGGUCCCAAAGUCAUGGUUAAGUGGGAAACGAUGUGGGAAGGCCCAGACAGCCAGGAUGUUGGCUUAGAAGCAGCCAUCAUUUAAAGAAAGCGUAAUAGCUCACUGGUCGAGUCGGCCUGCGCGGAAGAUGUAACGGGGCUAAACCAUGCACCGAAGCUGCGGCAGCGACACUAUGUGUUGUUGGGUAGGGGAGCGUUCUGUAAGCCUGUGAAGGUGGCCUGUGAGGGUUGCUGGAGGUAUCAGAAGUGCGAAUGCUGACAUAAGUAACGAUAAAGCGGGUGAAAAGCCCGCUCGCCGGAAGACCAAGGGUUCCUGUCCAACGUUAAUCGGGGCAGGGUGAGUCGACCCCUAAGGCGAGGCCGAAAGGCGUAGUCGAUGGGAAACAGGUUAAUAUUCCUGUACUUGGUGUUACUGCGAAGGGGGGACGGAGAAGGCUAUGUUGGCCGGGCGACGGUUGUCCCGGUUUAAGCGUGUAGGCUGGUUUUCCAGGCAAAUCCGGAAAACCAAGGCUGAGGCGUGAUGACGAGGCACUACGGUGCUGAAGCGACAAAUGCCCUGCUUCCAGGAAAAGCCUCUAAGCAUCAGGUAACAUCAAAUCGUACCCCAAACCGACACAGGUGGUCAGGUAGAGAAUACCAAGGCGCUUGAGAGAACUCGGGUGAAGGAACUAGGCAAAAUGGUGCCGUAACUUCGGGAGAAGGCACGCUGAUAUGUAGGUGAAGCGACUUGCUCGUGGAGCUGAAAUCAGUCGAAGAUACCAGCUGGCUGCAACUGUUUAUUAAAAACACAGCACUGUGCAAACACGAAAGUGGACGUAUACGGUGUGACGCCUGCCCGGUGCCGGAAGGUUAAUUGAUGGGGUUAGCGGUAACGCGAAGCUCUUGAUCGAAGCCCCGGUAAACGGCGGCCGUAACUAUAACGGUCCUAAGGUAGCGAAAUUCCUUGUCGGGUAAGUUCCGACCUGCACGAAUGGCGUAAUGAUGGCCAGGCUGUCUCCACCCGAGACUCAGUGAAAUUGAACUCGCUGUGAAGAUGCAGUGUACCCGCGGCAAGACGGAAAGACCCCGUGAACCUUUACUAUAGCUUGACACUGAACAUUGAGCCUUGAUGUGUAGGAUAGGUGGGAGGCUUUGAAGUGUGGACGCCAGUCUGCAUGGAGCCGACCUUGAAAUACCACCCUUUAAUGUUUGAUGUUCUAACGUUGGCCCCUAAUCGGGGUUGCGGACAGUGUCUGGUGGGUAGUUUGACUGGGGCGGUCUCCUCCUAAAGAGUAACGGAGGAGCACGAAGGUUGGCUAAUCCUGGUCGGACAUCAGGAGGUUAGUGCAAUGGCAUAAGCCAGCUUGACUGCGAGCGUGACGGCGCGAGCAGGUGCGAAAGCAGGUCAUAGUGAUCCGGUGGUUCUGAAUGGAAGGGCCAUCGCUCAACGGAUAAAAGGUACUCCGGGGAUAACAGGCUGAUACCGCCCAAGAGUUCAUAUCGACGGCGGUGUUUGGCACCUCGAUGUCGGCUCAUCACAUCCUGGGGCUGAAGUAGGUCCCAAGGGUAUGGCUGUUCGCCAUUUAAAGUGGUACGCGAGCUGGGUUUAGAACGUCGUGAGACAGUUCGGUCCCUAUCUGCCGUGGGCGCUGGAGAACUGAGGGGGGCUGCUCCUAGUACGAGAGGACCGGAGUGGACGCAUCACUGGUGUUCGGGUUGUCAUGCCAAUGGCACUGCCCGGUAGCUAAAUGCGGAAGAGAUAAGUGCUGAAAGCAUCUAAGCACGAAACUUGCCCCGAGAUGAGUUCUCCCUGAGACUUAGAGUCUCCUGAAGGAACGUUGAAG